UACGGAGGGUGCAAGCGUUAAUCGGAAUUACUGGGCGUAAAGCGCACGCAGGUGGCUGAGUCAGUCGAUUGUGAAAGCCCUGGGCUUAACCUGGGAAUUGCAGUCGAUACUACUCAGCUAGAGUAUGGGAGAGGGCAGUGGAAUUCCCGGUGUAGCGGUGAAAUGCGUAGAUAUCAGGAAGAACACCUAUGGCGAAGGCAGCUCUCUGGGACGGUACUGACGCUGAGACGCGAAAGCGUGGGGAGCGAACAGG
rnacentral:rRNA from 1 species